GACGGAGGAUGCAAGUGUUAUCCGGAAUCACUGGGCGUAAAGCGUCUGUAGGUGGUUCGAAAAGUCCACUGUUAAAAAUUGAGGCUUAACUUCAAAGAUGCCGUGGAAACUUUCAAACUAGAGUAUGGUAGGGGUAGAGGGAAUUUCCAGUGGAGUGGUGAAAUGCGUAGAUAUUGGAAAGACCACCGAUGGCGAAGGCACUCUACUGGGCCAUUACUGACACUGAGAGACGAAAGCUAGGGGGAGCAAAUGGG
rnacentral:rRNA from 1 species